CCUUAUCACUUUUCCAGCCCAGCUUUGUGACUGUCAGUGCUGGACGGAGAACUGAUAAGGGUGGG
rnacentral:miRNA from 1 species